rnacentral:misc_RNA from 1 species
GGUUGAAGAUCUAAGGUUUUGAGAGAGGCUAUGGGUUGAUUUUUGUUGGAUUGGCAAAGUGAUGGCAAAAGUUCUCUUCUUGGAGUUGGUUUUCUUUUUUUGUUUCUUUUUAUCUCCCUUUCUUUUCCUAUAACAUGUGAGAAAGGAUAGCAGUUUUUUAUUGUUAAGCCAUUCAAAUUAGUUCUUCAUUCCUUAGCAUCAUGCAAAAAAUAAACGAGAAAGGAGUAUUCUUCACACUAUUUCAAAUAAAUUUUUCGUUUUACUUGGUGGUGAUAAGAUUAGAUCUUUAUUUUAGGUACUUGAGUUAAUUGUUAAUAAUUAUUAUAAAUCAUAGAUUCAAUGUCUUUAUUUAAUGGAUUUAUGCUCUUUAAGUAGUUGGAUUUCUUGUUUUUACCUUAUUUUGUUAAAUUAGUUUCUGUAUUUUGCAAAAAUUUUACAAAUUUGUGUAUAAUGAUAGUACCGUUACAGUAAUGUUAUGGCCAUGACUUGUGAUAGCCCUUUUUCUUUUAUAUGUGAUCAUAACCAUUAAUACAGCUGCAACUGUGAUUUAAAUCCAUGGUCAAAAUUGAAAAGAUAUGCAAAGGUUUAGGUUCUGUAAGCUAUUAAAGCUUAUUCCAAAAAUGAAAUAAUAUUAAUUAUUAAUUGAUUAUGUCAUUGUGCUAAGUUGGACAAUGAACAUGCCUUAAAAAGAUUGGCUAAAACUUUUAAUUAAUGAUUUUUUUUAAUCAUUUGGCCUUAUAUUUCACUUUUUAUGGCCUUCUUAACCCCUAUAUGUAGAAUUAAUUUUUUCUAGACUUCUGUAAACUUCAAAUUUUGCAUCUUUAUCUUGUUGUUCUGAAUUUAUGGCCUUCUUUAACUUCCGCAGGUUUACAUGUUGCGCUUACCAUGUUUACUGGCUACCUUGUGGGAUAUGCAGCAUUCAGGGCAUUGUUUGGCCACAAUCCUGCAAUGAGUGCUGCUGGAGGGAUUCUUGGUUUAGUGUGUGGAAUGCUUGUAGAAACACUCCUUUUCAUUAUUAGAACUUCUAAUCAAGAUCCUAAAUCAUCAACUUCUACGUCUACGCUGAAGAAGAAUCAGUAGACUUGAUACAAAGAGGUUGGUUUUCUGAAUCUGUGUUGUUGGAUUCUGAGUUGUAAAGGUAGUUUAUUUAUCAAUAUUUGUUGUUUCCCGUCAUCUGAAUACCGGAUUCUGAGUAGACAUGGUCACCGUGUAUGCGGAACUCGGUUUGGAAAUUCAACAACGGGCUUGAUGCUAAAUUUUGUUCAUGUCCUAAGUGAAGUGCAAUAAAAACUUGAACAGUCUCUCUUUCUUCUUCUUUAAAUACUGAAAAAGAUUCAAAAUUUUGAAUGUAUCAAUU